AUUUGUAAGUCACUAUGCCUGGUGUUCUCACGGUUCCUUCUCUUGCCUCAAAAGGCGCUCCGUUAGAACUCAGAAGAGGGAUGACAGCGGACAGUUUCUGACACCCUUGAUCGAGAAGAAAGCCGUCAGAUCCGCCAGGGAUGCCAGCUUCGCGAAGAUGUUCAGGAUGAGGGCGAACGCCACGGCAUACUCCGGCUUCAUCACCGUCAACAAGGAACACCAGGCGAAUAUGUACUUCAUUUAUAUGCAAGCUCAGGUAAGGAAGGCCUCGGAGGGCCUAGUUAGGAAACGGUAUUGUCGCGUGGUGGUCACGAGA
rnacentral:misc_RNA from 1 species